AGCGAACGCUGGCGGCAGGCCUAACACAUGCAAGUCGAACGAAGUCUCCGGACUUAGUGGCGGACGGGUGAGUAACACGUGGGAACGUACCUUUUGGUUCGGAACAACUCAGGGAAACUUGAGCUAAUACCGGAUGAGCCCUUAGGGGGAAAGAUUUAUCGCCGAAAGAGCGGCCCGCGUUAGAUUAGCUAGUUGGUGAGGUAAAGGCUCACCAAGGCUACGAUCUAUAGCUGGUCUGAGAGGAUGAGCCGCCACACUGGGACUGAGACACGGCCCAGACUCCUACGGGAGGCAGCAGUGGGGAAUCUUGCGCAAUGGGCGAAAGCCUGACGCAGCCAUGCCGCGUGAAUGAUGAAGGUCUUAGGAUUGUAAAAUUCUUUUACCAGGGACGAUAAUGACGGUACCUGGAGAAAAAGCCCCGGCUAACUUCGUGCCAGCAGCCGCAGUAA
rnacentral:rRNA from 1 species